rnacentral:sRNA from 1 species
CGAUUUGCUGGGGGCAGAUGAAGUGGAUGUGGCUAUCGAACCCGCCGGCCGUCAGGAUGCGGCCUUCGCCGGCGAUUGCCUCGGUUCCCGGGCCAAUGAUAAUAUCGACGUUGGGUUGGGUGUCGGGAUUGCCCGCCUUGCCAAUCUUGUGGAUCAAGCCGUUUUUCAGACCAACGUCGGCUUUGUAGAUACCGGAGUGGUCGACGAUCAGGGCGUUGGUGAUUACCGUAUCAACCGCCCCCUCGGCGCGAGUGGCUUGGGAUUGGCCCAUGCCGUCGCG